rfam:Fukomys damarensis contig155067, whole genome shotgun sequence.
GGAUCGAUGAAGAGAACACUUCCCUGAGGACGCUGAGGGACUCGUUUCAGAUGUCAAUCUGAGGUCC